UAGUUAGCUCAGUUGGUAGAGCGCACGACUCUUAAUCGUGUGGUCGUAUGUUCAAUCCCCACACU
rnacentral:ncRNA from 12 species